rnacentral:rRNA from 1 species
GACGGACGGUGCAAGCGUUGCUCGGAAUCACUGGGCGUAAAGGGUGCGUAGGCGGCCGUGCAAGUCUGGCGUGAAAGCCCCGGGCUCAGCCCGGGAAGUGCGCUCGAAACUGCGCGGCUCGAGUGCCGGAGGGGAGAGUGGAAUUCCUGGUGUAGCGGUGAAAUGCGUAGAUAUCAGGAGGAACACCGGUGGCGAAGGCGCACAUCUGGCCCGAUACUGACGCUGAGGCGCGAAAGCUAGGGGAGCAAACGGG